GGGGUUGUGGCUCAUAGGUAGAGCACUCGCCUAGCAUGCGGGAGGCACUAGGUUCCAUCCUCAGCACCA
rnacentral:tRNA from 1 species